ACCGUCACGGGGAAAGCGGAUUGCGUUGGAUUGAUGGGAUUUUGUGUGUUCAGCCCUUUUUUGGGUGCAUUGACAUGGAAUCUUAUUCGCCGUGGGUUUUUUGGGAAUGGAUUUUGCAUUCCUAUAGACUGAGGGCUCCCUUCGGGUUGAGGACGGCGAAGUGACGACGCGAUACGACCCGUCUUGAAACACGGACCAAGGAGUCUAGCGCGAUUGCGAGUCUAAGGGUGGUGAAACCUGAUGGCGCAGUGAAAGCGAGUAUAAAACGAGCAGUUUGAGGCGGCAUAGAAUCGUUGAUUUUAAGUCCGACCUGGAGCAAUUGCGCUGGGACCCGAAAGAUGGUGAACUAUGCCGGAGUAGGGCGAAGCCAGAGGAAACUCUGGUGGAGGCUCGUAGCGGUGCUGACGUGCAAAUCGCUCGUCCAACUUGGGUAUAGGGGCGAAAGACUAAUCGAACCAUCUAGUAGCUGGUUCCCUCCGAAGUUUCUCUCAGGAUAGCGGGCCGACAUGUGUUGUUCUGUGCGGUAAAGCGAAUGAUUAGCGUAAUUGGGGACAUUUUUUCUUCGGGCGAUUCUCAAACUUUAAAUGCGCAGGGGUGUCGCUGCUUGGUUGAGCGGCACCGGU
rnacentral:rRNA from 1 species